rnacentral:rRNA from 1 species
GAUGAACGCUAGCGGGAGGCCUAACACAUGCAAGCCGAGCGGGAUUUGUUGGUUAGCUUGCUAACUAAAAAUGAGAGCGGCGUACGGGUGCGUAGCACGUGUGCAACCUGCCUUUAUCUGGGGGAUAGCCUUUCGAAAGGAAGCUUAAUAUCCCAUAACAUAUUGAUUGGCAUCAGUUAAUAUUGAAAGCUCCUGCGGAUAGAGAUGGGCACGCGUAAGAUUAGCUAGUUGGUGAGGUAACGGCCCACCAAGGCUGCGAUCUUUAGGGGCCCUGAGAGGGUGAUCCCCCACACUGGUACUGAGACACGGACCAGACUCCUACGCGAGGCAGCAGUGAGGAAGAUUGGACAAUGGGGGAGAGCCUGAUCCAGCCAUCCCGCGUGAAGGACUAAGGACCUAGGGUUUGUAAACUUCUUUUAUACAGGGAUAAACCUACUCUCGUGAGGGUAGCUGAAGGUACUGUAUGAAUAAGCACCGGCUAACUCCGUG